AUCCCAGAUAAGCUUGAGGGUUGGUUUCUUCUGGUGCUUAUUCUGAUUCAUCGGAGGCCGAAACUGAUACUGGUAGUUUCGCUGAUAAAUGCCUGUAUCUGAUUAUCUCGAGGCGUUUACUAGUAACUCUUACCAUACAUUU